AUUGAACGCUGGCGGCAGGCCUAACACAUGCAAGUCGAACGGUAACAGGGAUCAGCUUGCUGAUUCGCUGACGAGUGGCGGACGGGUGAGUAAUGUCUGUGAAACUGCCUGAUGGAGGGGGAUAACUACUGGAAACGGUAGCUAAUACCGCAUAACGUCGCAAGACCAAAGAGGGGGACCUUCGGGCCUCUUGCCAUCGGCUGUGCCCAGAUGGGAUUAGCUAGUAGGUGGGGUAACGGCUCACCUAGGCGACGAUCCCUAGCUGGUCUGAGAGGAUGACCAGCCACACUGGAACUGAGACACGGUCCAGACUCCUACGGGAGGCAGCAGUGGGGAAUAUUGCACAAUGGGCGCAAGCCUGAUGCAGCCAUGCCGGGUGGAUGAAGAAGGCCUUCGGGUGGUAAAGUACUUUCAGCGGGAAGGAAGGGAGUAAAGUUAAUACCUUUGCUCAUGGACGUUACCCGCAGAAGAAGCACCGGCUAACUCCGU
rnacentral:rRNA from 1 species